rnacentral:rRNA from 1 species
UGGGGAAUAUUGCACAAUGGGCGCAAGCCUGAUGCAGCCAUGCCGCGUGUAUGAAGAAGGCCUUCGGGUUGUAAAGUACUUUCAGCGGGGAGGAAGGGAGUAAAGUUAAUACCUUUGCUCAUUGACGUUACCCGCAGAAGAAGCACCGGCUAACUCCGUGCCAGCAGCCGCGGUAAUACGGAGGGUGCAAGCGUUAAUCGGAAUUACUGGGCGUAAAGCGCAUGCAGGCGGUUUGUUAAGUCAGAUGUGAAAUCCCCGGGCUCAACCUGGGAACUGCAUCUGAUACUGGCAAGCUUGAGUCUCGUAGAGGGGGGUAGAAUUCCAGGUGUAGCGGUGAAAUGCGUAGAGAUCUGGAGGAAUACCGGUGGCGAAGGCGGCCCCCUGGACAAAGACUGACGCUCAGGUGCGAAAGCGUGGGGAGCAAACAGG